rnacentral:sRNA from 1 species
AUGAGCACCAGGGCUUCAUGUGCCGACAGUCCAGACUUGUGUUUAACCAAUAUUUGGAAUAGACUAGACCAACGUUUCGGUUCAGCAGAGUUAUUAGAAUCUGCUUUGAAAACAAAACUUUCAAAUUUGCCAAAUAUGAUUGACCGUAAAGUUCUUUAUGACCUACACGAUUUGCUAAAUGAAAUUCAGGCUGUGAAAACACUCCGAGAAUAUAGUGUGAUAUUUUCAUACUUAGACUCCUCACUAGGCAUUAGACCAAUAGUUCAAAAACUGCCAAAGUUUAUUCAAGAUAAAUGGAUCACACGAGUGGUGAAUUAUAAGAAGCAGAACCAAGUGAUUUUCCCGCCUUUUAGCGAGUUCUUAAAAUUCAUUGGUGAAAUAAGUGUUAUUCGAAAUGACCCAAGUCUCCUUUUUGAAACACCUAUGAAUCAGUCAACAAGAAAACCAAGUUACAGUAAACCACAAAACACUAUGUACAAACAAAAAGAUCAGCAUCUUAUAACGGCAAAUAAGAUGGAGGUAAAUUCUACUCCUGUAACAAAGUCAAACUCAAACUCAACACAUGCCUGUUUGAUUCACAUUGGAGCCAAACACACCAUUAAUGAGUGUAAAGCUUUCCGGAGCAAAAGUUUAGAAAACAGAAAGACUCUGCUUCGAAGUCAUAACAUUUGUUUACGUUGUUGCGAUACUUCAGACCAUUUUGCAAACCGUUGUCGGGCUCAGAUACAGUGUGACAUAUGCAAAGCGUCAACUCAUUGCACUGCUCUUCAUAUAGACUUUAACAAUAAUAAUGCAGACAUUAACAAUAACUCAAAUCAAAGAACUGGUAAUGCUGCACCAAAGCAUGGCGAGGAGACACCAGCAGAAGUAAGCUCUCGUUGUACCGAGAUUUGUGGUAUUCCCAGCUUUACAGGCAAAUCAUGCGCAAAAAUUCUUCCAGUGCGAAUAUUUCCGGAAGGACAAUCGGACAAAGCUGUACUCGCAUAUGCAAUGCUUGAUGACCAAAGCAAUAGGACUCUAGGAAAAACUUGUUUGUUUGAUAGCUUAUCUGUUGAAUCUGAAACAAUCGAAUACAAGAUGGAAUCAUGUUCCGGAAGGUCGACAAGUAGUGGACGGAUUGUAGGAGGACUGGUAGUUGAAAGCGUCAGUAACAAUCUGCAAAUGAAAUUACCACCUGUUAUAGAAUGUGACAAUAUUCCAGACAAUCAAACUGAAAUUCCGACACCGGAUGUUGCUCGCCAUUACCCACACUUGCAUGACAUUGCUCAUCAAUUACAUGAACACGACGCUUCUAUGAAAAUAAUGUUACUGAUAGGCCGUGACCUUUCAAGUGCUCACCACGUUCUUGAACAAAAGUUAGGACCUCCACGGUCACCUUUUGCACAACGUUCACCACUAGGCUGGACUAUCAUUGGUGAUGUUUGUCUCUUUGGACAACAUUGUCCUUCAUCAGCGGAGUGUGAUCAGAAUUUCAUCAUAGAUAAUGGGCGCCCUACGAGUUUGAAACCAUGUGAACAAAUUAUUAACGUUCGAAAAACAUUCAUCAGAAGUGAACAACCCCAAUUGACAAAAUAUAACAUUUUCGAAACAACUAGUCACGACAAUAAGCCCGGACUGUCAAUUGAAGAUCGUAAAUUUCUAGACAUAAUGGACAAAGAAUUUCGCCUAGACUUUGAUGGUAAAUGGGUAGCGCCUUUACCUUUUGGUUCACCACAUUAUACUAUGCCAGACAAUUAUCUGCUUGCGCUUAAUCGUGCCAAAUCUCUAGAUGCUUCACUGCAUAGGAAUGAAACAAAGAAGCAGCAUCUACUCGAAUUCAUGCAGAAAAUUAUUGACAAUCACCAUGCUGAAAUUGCCCCGUAUCUACCUCCUGAUAGAGAACGUUGGUACCUUCCAUUAUUCGGGGUAUAUCACCCUCGCAAGCCAGAGCAAAUUCGCGGCGUCUUUGACGCAUCUGCAAAAUUCAACAAUGUUUCACUGAAUGACCAGCUGCUUCAAGGUCCUGAUCUCAUCAACAGUCUUCUCGGAAUACUUAUUCGAUUUAGAAAAGAGAUGGUAGGAGUAGUCGCUGAUAUCCAGCAAAUGUUCCAUUCGUUCCUGGUACAGGAAGAACAUAGAGAUUUCCUCAGAUUUCUAUGGCACAAAGAUAAUGUGAUUGAAAACCCACUUGUUACUUACCGUAUGCGUGUACAUGUCUUUGGGAAUCGACCUUCGCCCUCAAUAGCUAUGUAUGGAUUACGUCGAAUAGGAGAAUUAGCCACUGAAUCUCAUGGUGACGAUGUGAAGAAUUUUAUAAACAAUGAUUUCUAUGUUGAUGAUGGCUUGAAGUCUUGCCCGUCAAGCCAAGAUGCUAUAGACUUGAUUCUUAAAACCCAAGAAGCCAUGAAAAUGCAUGGAAAUCUGCGACUUCAUAAAUUUGCGUCCAAUAGCAAAGUUGUUAUGAAUGCGUUGGAACCCGGAGACUUAGCAAAGGGACUCGUGGAUAUGGACUUUGAGAAAGACUCACCUACUCAGCGUAGCCUAGGUCUGCUGUGGGAUUUAGGAUCCGAUACCUUUAAAUUCAGCAUCUCUAAUGAAACUAAAUCAGCAACGCGUAGAGGCAUACUCUCAGUUGUUAAUAGUCUUUACGACCCAAUGGGAUUUAUCUCCCCAAUAACUGUGCAAGGCAAAAUCAUACUUCGAAAAAUAGUGUCUUCAACAUUUGAUUGGGAUGAUCCAUUGCCUGAACAUUUGUUGACUGAAUGGAAUAAAUGGAGUCAAAACUUACCUGACUUAGAGGAUUUGCGCAUACCCCGUAUUAUCGUGCCAAAUCUUAGCAAUGCUGUAAACAAGGAACUAUUUAUUUACUGUGAUGCGUCAGAACUUGCCAUUGCAGCUGUGUGUUACCUUCAUGUUAGUUAUUCGGAUGGUUCUACUUCUACUGGAUUCGUGCUAGGUAAAGCCAAGGUUGCUCCAGCGAAAUGUACCACCAUUCCAAGACUAGAACUCUGUUCUGCAGUGCUAGGGGUUGAAAUUGCUCAGAUUGCAGUGGACCACUUGCAGAUCAAUAUUGAUAACAUCAAAUAUUUCAGUGAUAGUCGAGUAGUCUUAGGCUAUAUUAACAAUGAAAAGAGACGCUUUUUUGUUUACGUAGCCAACCGUGUUGCAAGGAUCAGAAGUUAUAGCGAACCUACUCAAUGGCUCUAUGUUCGUUCUGAAAAGAACCCUGCAGAUAUAGGAACUAGAGGUAUUCAUCCCGCAGACUUACAGAAUAGUCUCUGGCUACAUGGGCCAAGCAGAAUCGAAGCACCUAAUGUAUCUUUGGAUAAAGAUUCCGACUUCUCACUCAUUCAGCCAGAUGUUGAUGUGGAAAUCCGUUCGAACAAAGUUGAUAUUGAGAAUGUUAAACCGAAUGGUCUUGGCAACAGUGUAUUUGAGAAAUUCUCUGAUUGGAAUAGAUUGAAUUUUGCCUUAGCUACAGUUCGAAAAUUCAUUCGGCGUCAUUUAAAUUUGAAGCGAUCAGAUGGCUCAAAGAACAUGGACAAUGUUGAAUUGCUGCACAACACAGAGCAGCUUGUUCUAAGAGAGGGUACAGCAGCAAUUUUAUGAAAGUGAAUUAAAUAAAUGAUAUUCGUGACUCAAAGCCUCUAAACAAACACAGUUCUAUCGUACAACUGGAUCCAUUUAUCGGCAAUGAUGGGCUCCUACGUGUAGGUGGACGCUUGAAACAUAUUAAAUUUGAUUCUUCCUUCAAGAAUCCUAUCAUCUUACCUGCAAAACAUCAUGUUACAACUCUUAUCGUCCGUAAAUACCAUGAAGAUGUGAAACAUCAGGGACGCCAUUUUACUGAAGGCCGAAUUCGUUCAGCAGGAUACUGGGUAGUAGGUUGCAAAAGACUUGUUUCAUCCAUUCUGCACAAGUGUGUUACUUGCAGAAAACUCAGGAAAGAAUUCCAAUGUCAAAAAAUGUCAAACUUACCUGUUGAUCGCAUUGAGCCUGAACAACCACCUUUUUCGUCUGUCGGCGUUGAUAUGUUUGGUCCGUGGGAGGUGUUAACAAGGAAAACCAGAGGCGGUGCAGCAAACAGUAAACGAUGGGCUGCUCUCUUCACAUGUCUUGUAACACGAGCCGUCCACAUCGAAGUCGUGGAGGAGAUGUCAGCUUCAUCAUUCAUUAAUGCGUUACUCAGAUUUCAAGCAAUACGUGGUCCCGUCAGAAUAUUUCGUUCAGAUAGAGGCACAAAUUUUGUAGGUACCGUGAAUGAAAUGAAUAUAAAUGUCAUAGAAGUGGAAAAUGGACCGAUUAAGAAUUUCUUACAAAAACAUGGAAUUUCAUGGAUCUUCAAUUCACCACACUCUUCACACAUGGGAGGAGUGUGGGAAAGGAUGAUUGGUGUGACUCGUCGUAUUUUGGAUGCCAUGCUGCUUGAAUAUGGAUCUCGUAGUUUGACUCAUGAAGUACUCACAACAUUCUUAGCCGAGGCUAGUUAUAUCAUAAACUCUAGACCACUUCGUUGA